rnacentral:rRNA from 1 species
CCUGAGCUUGAUCCUGGCUCAUGGCAAGCGUUGUCCGGCCUGAGCUUGAUCCUGGCUCAGGACGAACGCUGGCGGCGUGCUUAACACAUGCAAGUCGAACGAUGAACCUCCUUCGGGAGGGGAUUAGUGGCGAACGGGUGAGUAACACGUGGGCAAUCUGCCCUGCACUUCGGGACAAGCCCUGGAAACGGGGUCUAAUACCGGAUACUCACCGCCCUCCGCAUGGGGGGUGGUGGAAAGCUCCGGCGGUGCAGGAUGAGCCCGCGGCCUAUCAGCUUGUUGGUGGGGUAGUGGCCCACCAAGGCGACGACGGGUAGCCGGCCUGAGAGGGCGACCGGCCACACUGGGACUGAGACACGGCCCAGACUCCUACGGGAGGCAGCAGUGGGGAAUAUUGCACAAUGGGCGAAAGCCUGAUGCAGCGACGCCGCGUGAGGGAUGACGGCCUUCGGGUUGUAAACCUCUUUCAGCAGGGAAGACAUGUCGAGCAUGUGAUCGCGUAGCUCUCGACGAUGAACGAAGUCACCGUGC